CAAUAGCGUAUAUUAAAGUUGUUGCAGUUAAAAAGCUCGUAGUUGGAUUUCGGGGCAGCCUGGCUGGUCCGCCGCAAGGCGAGUACUGGUCAGCCGCCCUUCCUCUCGAAAGCCCCGACUGCUCUUUAUUGCAGUGGUCGGGUAGUUCGGGACGUUUACUUUGAAAAAAUUAGAGUGUUCAAGGCAGGCCUACGCCUGAAUACAUUAGCAUGGAAUAACGGAAGAGGACCUCGGUCCUAUUUUGUUGGUUUCCAGGACCGAAGUAAUGAUUAAGAGGGACAGUUGGGGGCAUUCGUAUUUAAUUGUCAGAGGUGAAAUUCUCGGAUUUAUGAAAGACGAACAACUGCGAAAGCAUUUGCCAAGGAUGUUUUCAUUAA
rnacentral:rRNA from 1 species